UACGUAGGGCGCAAGCGUUGUCCGGAAUUAUUGGGCGUAAAGAGCUCGUAGGCGGUCUGUCGCGUCGGCUGUGAAAACUCGGGGCUCAACUCCGAGCUUGCAGUCGAUACGGGCAGGCUAGAGUUCGGCAGGGGAGACUGGAAUUCCUGGUGUAGCGGUGAAAUGCGCAGAUAUCAGGAGGAACACCGGUGGCGAAGGCGGGUCUCUGGGCCGAUACUGACGCUGAGGAGCGAAAGCGUGGGGAGCGAACAGG
rnacentral:rRNA from 1 species